CCCCGAGGGAGGUUUCAGCUGCUGGUGUGUCUCCCCUUAACGGAGCUUCAUCGGAGGAGAAGGGUGCUCCAGCCCCGCUGCUGCCGCCACCAACCCCAUGUGCUGAGGUGGAGAUCGUUCAACCUGAGGCGGUGUCAUUAUUGGUUGUCGCUUCUACUCUAGCAAGAGUCAUGGUCCCUUCGCAGGCAAGAGGGCGCCGGGUGGACCAUCCUUCUUCUCUUCGUGACACGCAGGGCCUAGAUGUGGAGGAUUGGAGGCGAGUCGAAUCGGCUUCGUCUCUUCACGCUAUCCGCCCAGCAGGAGAUGGAGAAGCUCCGUGUGGGGGUCGUCCAUUCCAUGGCAAAGUAGCAUGAACUUGUUGAGCUCUGCUCUAAGACCAAACGACUUGAGAGUGAGGUGACCCAACUACAUUCUAAGGGCGAAUGUGCCUGGGUCGAAGCCAAUCACCUUCAUGUAGAGGAGACCCAACUCCAGGGGGCCUUCAUGAGGUGAGCUUCCGGGUCAGCGAGGCCGAGUCAUCCCUUGGUAAGGCCAACGUCCACCUGGAGAGGACAAAUGCAGAGCUUUCGUGAGAGCACGACGCUACAGGGGAGCUCUGGAAGAUGUUUUCUCGGGCUGAUGACGCCAAGAGAACAACAUAGGAGGUGAAGGCAACAAUUGUGGCCUAGGUGCGAGAGCUUUCGCUUGCUGGCGAUGACGCCAUUCUCGUAUUGGCCGAGACGGUCACUGCACUCUUCGAGCAGAGCACGGGCUUUAGGAGUUCCGCCUGGUCGUUGGCAAGGUGUGCGCCUUGCUUUUGUCGUCGCCUCUAAUCGAGGUGCCCUUGGUCGACUGGUUGCGGUCGCUUCCUGGCCAUGUGGAGCAUGUCAUCGUUGAGGGUGUGUUCCAUGGGAGCGACCUAGCUCUUGGGUAGGUGGUCUCUUACUUUGAUGAGAUCUACGUUGUUGUGAUCGCCGAAGGCUUCGCCUUGGGCCAAAUUGACGAGGAGCUAGACUCUAUUAAAGAUCAAGUCCACACUUACGCUAGAUUGCUCGCCGAACGGGUGGAUGUGAAGCCCCUGCUGACUGGCCCCUGAAGUCUAGCAUCGCCCGCUAGUGACCUGCCCACUAGCGCCAAGGUCGCUUCUUGUUUUUGUCCCUUUUUGUAAUAAUUUCCUUGGAUGGACAAGAUCUCCACAUGACAUGUUAUUUCCGCUUCAAAACUUUCGCCCUUUGGAUUCCGGUCUCAA